CGCGAAAGGGAGCUUCGGUUCCCAAGUAGAGCGGCGGACGGGUGAGUAACACGUGGGCAACCUAUCUCCGGGUGGGGAAUAACUUCGGGAAACCGGGGCUAAUUCCGCAUAAUAUUUCGGGCUCUCAAGAGUCCGUAAUCAAAGCUGGGGACCCUUCGGGGCCUGGCGCCUGGUGAGGGACCCGCGGCCGAUUAGCUUGUUGGUGAGGUAAUGGCUCACCAAGGCUGCGAUCGGUAGCCGGCCUGAGAGGGCGGACGGCCACACUGGGACUGAGACACGGCCCAGACUCCUACGGGAGGCAGCAGUGGGGAAUUUUUGUCAAUGGGGGAAACCCUGAACAAGCAACGCCGCGUGGAGGAUGAAGGCCUUCGGGUCGUAAACUCCUGUCGGAGGGGACGAAAGCGGCUGGGGUCAAUACCCUCAACUGUUGACGGUACCCUAUGAGGAAGCCCCGGCUAACUCCGUGCCAGCAGCCGCGGUAAUACGGGGGGGGCAAGCGUUGUUCGGAAUUACUGGGCGUAAAGGGCGCGCAGGCGGCCCGGCCAGUCCCUUGUGAAAUCCCACAGCUUAACUGUGGAACUGCAGGGGAUACUGCCGGGCUUGAGUCCGGGAGAGGGUAGUGGAAUUCCCAGUGUAGCGGUGAAAUGCGUAGAUAUUGGGAGGAACACCGGUGGCGAAGGCGGCUACCUGGACCGGUACUGACGCUGAGGCGCGAAAGCUAGGGGAGCAAACGGGAUUAGAUACCCCGGUAGUCCUAGCCGUAAACGAUGGGCACUUGGUGUUGAGGGUAUUGAGUCCCUC
rnacentral:rRNA from 1 species